rnacentral:rRNA from 1 species
AAACCAACAGGGAUUGCCUCAGUAACGGCGAGUGAAGCGGCAAAAGCUCAAAUUUGAAAUCCUUCGGGAGUUGUAAUUUGUAGGUUGGGAGACCCCGCGGCUAGUGGCACCAAGUCCCUUGGAACAGGGCGCCUUAGAGGGUGAGAGCCCCGUAGGUACCACAACACCGUCUUGUGUCUCCUCUCCAAAGAGUCGAGUUGUUUGGGAAUGCAGCUCAAAGUGGGUGGUAAAUUCCAUCUAAAGCUAAAUACCGGCGAGAGACCGAUAGCGAACAAGUACAGUGAUGGAAAGAUGAAAAGCACUUUGAAAAGAGAGUGAAACAGUACGUGAAAUUGUUGAAAGGGAAGGGCUUGCAAGCAGACACGGCCUUCGUGCCGGGCCAGCAUCGGUUGCUAGGGGUGGAUAAGGAACAAGGAAUGUAGCUCCUCGGAGUAUUAUAGCCUUGCGCGAUACACCCACUGGCGACCGAGGCCUGCGGUAUCUUACCUAGGA